rnacentral:rRNA from 1 species
GACGAACGCUGGCGGCGUGCCUAAUACAUGCAAGUAGAACGCUGAAGGAGGAGCUUGCUUCUCCGGAUGAGUUGCGAACGGGUGAGUAACGCGUAGGUAACCUGCCUGGUAGCGGGGGAUAACUAUUGGAAACGAUAGCUAAUACCGCAUAACAGUAGAUAUUGCAUGAUAUCUGCUUGAAAGGUGCAAUUGCAUCACUACCAGAUGGACCUGCGUUGUAUUAGCUAGUUGGUGAGGUAACGGCUCACCAAGGCGACGAUACAUAGCCGACCUGAGAGGGUGAUCGGCCACACUGGGACUGAGACACGGCCCAGACUCCUACGGGAGGCAGCAGGAGGGAAUCUUCGGCAAUGGACGGAAGUCUGACCGAGCAACGCCGCGUGAGUGAAGAAGGUUUUCGGAUCGUAAAGCUCUGUUGUAAGAGAAGAACGAGUGUGAGAGUGGAAAGUUCACACUGUGACGGUAUCUUACCAGAAAGGGACGGCUAACUACGUG